AUGCCGUUUUGACUCCAAUUUUCUCUCCUCCCAAAAUUCCCAAUCCCCCUCCCCCAAAUUCCGCAUUCAUUCAUAAUCAUAACCAUCGAGCCCUAACCCUCAUUCUCUUCACGCGUGACCAUGGAGCCUUUUUCCUAACCCCAUUUCCCAACCCAUCCAUGGAGCCUAACCCUCUCUCCUAGCCAGGCACUUUUCUCCCCUCACGCACGACGCCACCCUGACCAGCAACUGUCACCACACACCAGCCUCAGAGACACCUCGGCCCUCAGCAUAACUCCUCGGUUGAUGAUGGAUGAGUGACGACUGAUCCUCAGAGAUACCAGCUUCUCGGUGACUGGUGACGCUUUUCUUCUCGGUCUGGUCACCUUCUUCAUCUCUGUUAGCUUCGCCACUUCUUCUCUGCUCUCUUCUUCAAUCGUCCUCUUCUUCUCUUAUCAGGUGGUUUACUAUUUCUAUUUAAUUGAACGGUUUUAGGAUACUUUAGAAAGAAUGGGCAUAAUUGGAGAAAGAAAAAACAUGGAAAAACCGUGAAAGAAGCUCAUGAAAGAUUGAAGAGGUUGUGGCAUUUUUCAAUCAAAUUUAGGUGGGAAGUGUUGACGUGUUGCAUUGCUAUUAUGCCCAUGGUGAAAAAAAUGAAAAAUUUCAGAGACGAAGCUAUUAGAUGCUUGAACCGAUUCUGGCUGAAGUUGAAAACCUUGCAAGAUUCUGGUUGAAGUUGAAAACCUUGCUGCUGAUUAUAAUGAGGCUGAGCUUAUAUUUAAAUAAUUGGCUUAUUUUCUUAAUUUUUCUUUUUUGUUUCCUUGGACAUAAGUUGGCUUAUUAGUCAAGGCAAUCAAGUUUAUGUAUCUAUCUUACUUGUAUAUGUUCACUUUUAGUUGCUAGAAUUCCUUAGUUAUUUUUCUAUAUUUCAGGCUUUGGCAUCCUACCUCAUUAAACUUCAUGCAGAAUGUAGUUAAUGGAAACCAGAGUCCUCUUAAACUUCAUCCAGAAUGUAGUUAAUGGAAACCAGAGUUCUGUAAUAGCUGUUACCAAAGGAUGCCAGGUGAUUUUUUUUCAGUUGAUAGUUUAUUUAAUGCUUUAUUGUCAUAAUGAGUUCUUCCUUAUUCCUUCCUCCAGCAAGUUGGAACAUCUCACAAAUGCCUUAGACCGUGAAAAUUGGUCACUGGUUCAAUUCCUCAUGUCAUCUUCUUAUAGUGGAUAUGGAACCUCCAGCUUGCAAAAAGUAAAAAAGUUUAUAAAUGCUCCAGAAACAAUUAUGUCCCCGCGUCUUCCUCGGGGAAUUUUGUCCCCCAUCCACAUCCCGCGAGAAAAAUUUCCCACAGUCGGAUCCCAUUCGAGGCAGCUCCCACAGGGAUCCCUGCGUCUUGUAGAGUUUUGCAAUCCCUAGUUCAACUCCCCAAAGGAGGCAGAGACCUAUUGAUGACUGGAAAUUCGCACCACACAAAUUCUUUCGGCAAGUGUACCGAAUCGCCAAGUAAUAACUCACUGUUGAGUGAGGUCGAUCCCACAGGGAUUGAUGGAUUAAGCAACUUUAAUUAGGUGAUUCAUCUAGUCAAGCAAAUAUUUGAUGAUUUUGUGUAAUUGAGUGCACAAAAUGGUGAUUUACAAAGAAAGUAAAUGUACAGAAAGUAAAUUGCUGAAGAAUAAAGUGCUGAAAGUAAAUUGUGAAAUGUAAAUGGCAGAAACUUAAAUGACAAGAAAGUUAAAGAACUAAAACUUAAAUGACAAGAAAGUAAAAGCAAGAAUGUAAAUGGCAGUGAAAGAUAAAUUGCAUGAAAUGUAAAUGGGCUUUGGGUGCUGGGAAUCAAAGAUAAAAAGAAACUUAAAGCAAUUGAAAUGAAGAAUAACAAUGGGUGAGAUUCAUUAAGGAUUGGAGAUGUUAUAAUCCUUCAUGAAUCAAUGAGUCUCAACUUCAUUCUCAAUCAUAUGAAGUAGAUCUAUGGCGGAUUAUAAUUAAUUGAGUUCUAAUUCCUUGGCAACCCAAUUUCUCUUAACACAAUUAAUUGCCAAUUCCUUGAUCUAAGUGUUCAAGAGAAGAGGUUUAGUUCAAUUCUCUAAUCCAUAAGCCACACAAGCUCUUAGGAUCUCAAUUCAAACCAAGAAUUUAUUGAUUAAAAGACUUUUGAGGGAAAAAGCUUCAAAUUGAAUUCUAUGAUCCCUCUUCCAACGCUCACAUAGAGAUUCAAGUAGACCUAAAUUCCCUUCCGGUAGUGAAUAGAUCUAUCAUGCACAGAAAUUUUUUCUUAGCUACAACAAGCGGAUUGAGAAGAAGAAAAUUUUCAUUCAUUCAUUUGAAUUACAAUAGAGCUUCUCCCCCUAAUGAUGAGGGGUUUAGUUGAUCAUUGCUCUGGAAAACUUACGAAGAAAAAGAAAGUACAUAAAAAGUAAACUAAGUAAAAAGAAGAAAGGAAAAAUGAUUCAGAGUUUCCUAAUUCAGAUCCUCUUGUGUAAGAGUUCGUCCUUUCUUCAAGUUCAAAACUUUUCCUAUAUAUGCUACUUUUGUGAUCUUCAAAUGAGUCUUCAAAUACUUGGAUGUGGGCCCUUUGGCCUUAGUUAAAACAAGUUAGGAGUGGUCCUUUCUGAAGUUAACACUGGUGUUAGCUUACUAAUGCUUUCAUACUUGCAUGAGUGCCCUGAAACUGGCGUUGGUACUGGCAUUAACAGCAUUUCUAAUGCCACAAUUCUCUUCCAAGCUGGCAUUAGUGUGCUAACGCUGCCACUAACGCUAGCGCCUGUUGUGCGUAUGCAUGUUGACUCGUGCGUGCGCAUCCUUGUAAUUUUUAUCUCUUGUGCCUGCGCAUAUUGCUUCGUGUGUGCACAUCCUGGUGAGUUUAGCCACUUAUGCGUACGCACACUGCUUCGUACGUGCGCACACUCACCAAUUUUUCUCUGGUGCGUACGCACACUAGCCAUAUCUUCCAGCCCCAACUUCGUGCAAUGAUCGAAGACGAUAGUGUGCUAACAUUGGUAGCGUUAGCACACUAACUUUGGCACCUUCUUCCUUGGGCAAUGGCGUUGGUGAGCUAACUUUGGCCACUAACGUUGCCAUUCUUCUUGAGUCAUGUUAGCACUGGCGUUAGUGGGCUAACUUGGCCACUAAUGCCAGCUUCUUCUUCCUCCUUGGCAACGUUAGCAUUGGCAUUAGUGGGUUAACUUUGCCACUAAUGCCAGCUUCUUCCUUGUAAAGCACGUUAGCACUGGCAUUAGUGAGCUAACUUGGCCAGUAACGCCAGCACCCUCCAUUAUUGAGCCAGCGUUAUCGCUAGCGUUAGUGAGCUAACUUUGGCCACUAAUUUCAGCACCCUCCUUGGUUGAGCGUUAACUAUGGCGUUAGUGUGCUAACUUAGCCACUAACGCCACAGCCUCUCUGCUUCUUCUCUACUUCUCCUCUGCUUCUCUUUGCCUAUCAUCAAUCAAACAAGUACAUCAAAGCUUUGUCAUAAUCACAAGAUAUUGCCUCAUUCAAUGCAUCAAGUAGUUCUUGCAUAAAUCUCAUGCAAAUGAUUAUAUUUCACUAAUGUUUGAUGAAUCAAGGUAUGCAUAGAUAACUCAUCCAAAUGCUUACUUAAUGAUGAAAAGUAUAGAAAAUGGCUUGUGAAACUAGCCAAAGAUGCCUAGGCGUCACAACACCAAACUUAAAUCUUGCUUGUCCCCAAGCAAGUAGUAAAAUAUAAGAAGAAUGAAUGAAAACACAAAGAGAUAUAAGCCCUUAUUGAAAUAUAUUCAAUCUUGGUUCAUGGAGUUUCAUGCAUGACAUCUUUGAAGUUCAUAUUCUUAUUGGUUUCCAAGUUAUAGCAACCCUUUAAAUACUAACUUUGCU